UACGUAGGAGGCAAGCGUUGUCCGGAAUUACUGGGCGUAAAGCGCGUGUAGGUGGUGGGACAAGUCUGCUGUGAAAGCCCCGGGCUUAACCUGGGAAUGGCCAUGGAAACUGGCGAACUGGAGUGUGGCAGAGGGGGGUGGAAUUCCGCGUGUAGCAGUGAAAUGCGUAGAGAUGCGGAGGAACACCGAUGGCGAAGGCAGCCCCCUGGGCUAGCACUGACGCUCAGGCACGAAAGCGUGGGGAGCAAACAGG
rnacentral:rRNA from 1 species